CUCGGUUCAUUUUCCUUUCGAAGGAAGACCCCGGUCCUUGCAGGGGUGCCCAGCUAGCCAGCUUCUCUCUCAGGAGCUCUCCCGACACCUGAUGCCUUCUUUCGGCGACCAGGCUAGUCAAGUGAAGCAGCAAGAGUGAACAAGAAACUAAGAAAUCUGUAACUGGCUUGUGAUCGAUUAAGUAAACAAACCAAAUGUCUAUCAUUAAAGGACUAGUUGAAUGUAUCAUAGGACCUCCAAACAAUGGAGUGUAUGCAACUGUAGAAAGAAGAAAGAGAACUAUCUUUGUGAUCUCCGGGAGAUAUCUGUCAUCUAUCAUCUAUCUCAGUUGGACACUUAACCGAAUGAGCCACCCAGGUGCCCCAGGAUAUAUUUUAUACGGGAGAGGUGAUGAGAUGUGUAUAUAUAGUACGCUACAGUUUGUUGGAAAAAGGGUGGGGGGAAUAUGAAUAUAUAUGCACACAUUUCCUUAUAUUAAAAAAAUGGAAAAGUAAA